AGUCGAGCGGACUGAUGGGAGCUUGCUCCCUGAAGUCAGCGGCGGACGGGUGAGUAACACGUGGGUAACCUGCCUGUAAGACUGGGAUAACUCCGGGAAACCGGGGCUAAUACCGGAUAGUUCUUUUCCUCGCAUGAGGAAAAGUGGAAAGGCGGCUUCGGCUGCCACUUACAGAUGGACCCGCGGCGCAUUAGCUAGUUGGUGAGGUAACGGCUCACCAAGGCAACGAUGCGUAGCCGACCUGAGAGGGUGAUCGGCCACACUGGGACUGAGACACGGCCCAGACUCCUACGGGAGGCAGCAGUAGGGAAUCUUCCGCAAUGGACGAAAGUCUGACGGAGCAACGCCGCGUGAGUGAUGAAGGUUUUCGGAUCGUAAAGCUCUGUUGUUAGGGAAGAACAAGUGCCGUUCGAAUAGGGCGGCACCUUGACGGUACCUAACCAGAAAGCCACGGCUAACUACGUGCCAGCAGCCGCGGUAAUACGUAGGUGGCAAGCGUUGUCCGGAAUUAUUGGGCGUAAAGCGCGCGCAGGCGGUCUCUUAAGUCUGAUGUGAAAGCCCACGGCUCAACCGUGGAGGGUCAUUGGAAA
rnacentral:rRNA from 2 species